UUGGGGAUAACAUUUUGGUAUUUGGGUCCCUUUAAAUGUUCUCUUCAUUGCUCCCUAGAGGUUUUCCGGAGGGGAAAUUGUGAUGGUCCUGUGACCUCAAAGCUGAGGACAUUCCCGAGUGGCUUGAGGCAAACGGUGGUUGUGGAGGCCUAGGUCUUGUAGACGGCCCUCCAGUCCACCUUCUCUUUGUGACCUCAGACAGCGCCCUUGAAGGACCUAUUGGGCUGGGAACUGCAGCAUACGCCUUCCACAAACAGAUCCCAGGAGCGGCCUUCAUUGUCUCUCGUUGGACUGCGCUGACGCUGUCUGUCAUUCCAAGCUUCAUCUGUGUGCUGCUGACGUGAGAACGCUCUGGAGUCUGCCGAGUGCCGGGGGGAAGCCAGGCUCCGUGAAGCUGGAUUCAGGAUUUCCUUGGUGAUUAGAGUCUGGAAGGUAUGUCUGCGUUACAGGAA